rnacentral:rRNA from 1 species
AUUGAACGCUGGCGGCAGGCCUAACACAUGCAAGUCGAGCGAGCGUCGGACGGGUGAGUAAUGUAUGGGGAUCUGCAUGAUGGCGGGGGAUAACUACUGGAAACGGUAGCUAAUACCGCAUACCAUCAGAUGAACCCAUAUGGGAUUAGCUAGUAGGUAAGGUCACGGCUUACCUAGGCGACGAUCCCUAGCUGGUCUGAGAGGAUGAUCGGACACAGUGGGACUGGGACGCGGCCCAGCCACCUACGGGGGGCAGCAGUGGGGAAUAUUGCACAAUGGGCGCAAGCAUGAUGCAGCCGUGCCGCGUGGAUGAAGAUGGCGGUCGGGUUGUAAAGUAGUUUCACGCGGGAGGCGGUACCGACAGACGAAGCACCUGCUAGCUCCGUGACAGAAGCCGCGGUAAUAC